rnacentral:rRNA from 1 species
GAUGAACGCUGGCGGCGUGCCUAAUACAUGCAAGUCGAGCGAACAGACGAGGAGCUUGCUCCUCUGACGUUAGCGGCGGACGGGUGAGUAACACGUGGAUAACCUACCUAUAAGACUGGGAUAACUUCGGGAAACCGGAGCUACUACCGGAUAAUAUAUUGAACCGCAUGGUUCAAUAGUGAAAGACGGUUUUGCUGUCACUUAUAGAUGGAUCCGCGCCGCAUUAGCUAGUUGGUAAGGUAACGGCUUACCAAGGCAACGAUGCGUAGCCGACCUGAGAGGGUGAUCGGCCACACGGGAACUGAGACACGGUCCAGACUCCGACGGGAGGCAGCAGUAGGGAAUCUUCCGCGAUGGGCGAAAGCUUGAUGGAGCAACGCCGCGUGAGUGAUGAAGGUCUUCGGAUCGGAAAACUCUGUUAUUAGGGAAGAACAAAUGUGUAAGUAACUAUGCACGUCUUGACGGUACCUAAUCAGAAAGCCACGGCUAACUACGUG